CUGAGUGUUACAUGUUAUGUCCUGUGCUCUUACAAUAAGUAAGCUGGAGAAAAGAAACCUUUACUGAGGAAAUCAUAAGAAGAAAAUACGUUUGCGUCACUGUCUGCACUCACUGAAUGCGUCCCCCAGAAGUGGGCCCACGCGGUUCAAGCAUGUGUUCAAGGCUGAGCUGCAUUUCUCUGAAUGUGUGGCCUGCAGUGCCGUUCGCCAUGGUCAUGAUAAUUAUAGUUUUUUCUUAUGGUUUUUUACCGAUUUGCCUUUGUUUUCUCACAGUGUAAACUGACGUCCCAGUUCUCCCCCAUAAAAAGGACUGGUGGGAUUCCCUGUGUCAGGAAGAAUUUGUGUUGCAAGAUAGCAAGUUUCCAUAGGGAAAAAAGCUCCGAGGCCCCUAUUCGAAGGAAGGGUCCCUAAUCUUUCCUGCAUGAACCCUGUGCAGUCGGGUGAGGUUCAUGAUGCCUUCUCACCGCAGUGUUCUCGAAGGCGUAUGCCAUUUCCGUAAGAAACAGAACCCUCUGCUUUCGGCAGCCUGUGUGCUGGGGGGAGUGGGUGGGCUGUCGCUUCCCCGGGCUCCUCCAGCCGUGUUCCUCGGGUGGGGCGUGUGUGCACUGGUCUGUAUGGCAUGGGGUUCCCAUCGGAACCCAAGGCUGCCUGAGAUUCUGGGAGGUUAUUUAUUUGAAGUUACACAGAUGUUUGUGGAAGGGAGACUGAGACAUGGGCACUUGGAGCGCACAGCUGACCCUGAGCAGAGGGCCACCUGUCCUUAAUGUGCUCCAUGUGCUCUCUUGUCCCCAACAGCAACAAGCAUGCUUCCCUCUGUGACUCUUCCUUGGAAAUUAAAUAAUGAGUCUCCAUAAGAUACUUGCUCACAGCCCAAAGCUGCAUAUCCACGAGAAAGUGACUUAGAGGGAAGUAUCAUGAGAGGUUCCCAGGAGAGCGGUGGCAGGAGAAUCCUCUCUGAGCACCGUGUGUCACGCCUCUUACAGCCUCAGUUACCGUGUGCACUGCGCUGUGCAGAGCUGCCUCCUGCUUUUCCAGGGUGGCCUGUUUCUCAAUGAACACGUUCCCUCUGGAUGGACAUCUGGCUGCUGCUGGUGUCUUUUUUUCAAGCAAUGCCACACCCCUCCGCUCACAUCUGCGUACAGUGGCACCCUCCGCAUGCCUCUGUGGGAACAGUGCUAAAAGCAGGAUUGUCAGCUGAGGUACAUUCAGUUAACAAAAUGAUAAAUACCAAAUUUGUCUCCAUAAAGACUGUGGGCCUGAGCCCUCCGGCAGUGGUGUGGGCGUGUGGCCGUGACGUCGAUGGUGGUCAGAGCUCAAGGGACAGGCCUUGCAGUCAGCAGCCUUCCGCUGCUGAGCAUCUGAGCAAGGAUGGGAUGGGAAAGGUCAGGGAUCCUCAUGUUAAUCUCAGACUCUUUGGCUUUUUUAAUUUAAAUCUCUGGAUGACAAAGCAGGUGUGACAUUCCUAGGACAGAGCCCUUUAGAUUCCGCUGGCCUGACAGCUUCGUUGGGUGGAGAGGAAGCUGAGGCCAGACAAGAUCAGCCCCCAUUCCAUGGUCACUUCCUGGCGGAGCCUGGCUCAGGCCCGGAGUCUCGAACCUGGCUCUCUUUGGCUGUUGGGAGACCGCACAGUGGGCACCCCAGGACCUGGGGUGCUCAUGGAGCCCGGUGGCCGGGCACAGAGGCGUCACCAACUGAUCUGUGUUUAGCCCCGCAGUGUUGAGCAGAGGUGGCCGGCUGUGGCAUGCAGCUCCUGACAUAAUGACUGUAGAACGCUGAAAAUGUCCUUUUGGGUUUUGGCUGAAUAAUAUUUAAGGGUUUUGAAACAGUGACUUAAUUGUGUUUUUAUGUAAUUGAUGGCGUUGUAGUGAACGUACUGAGACACUGCAUCAGCAUUUUUCUAACUGUUCCUUGGAGAAAAACAUGCUCCUAUGAAAAUGGUUUCUUCACUUUCCACUCAUGGAGUUGAAACGAAAACAACGCUGUGCUUCCCUGGAACCGCAGUGCCCAGAGAUGCUCUAAUUCUAGAGUGUUUUCCCCUCUGGGUGUGGCCUGAAUAAUGCCAGGCUACCUCGCCUUUGAAGUUGGGUCAUCCCUUAUUUUGGAAGCAACGCAGGGCAUGGAGCGGCCGAUCGUGUCAGGAAGUUGGUGCA